rnacentral:rRNA from 1 species
GACAGAGGAUGCAAGCGUUAUCCGGAAUGAUUGGGCGUAAAGGGCGCGUAGACGGUAAGAAUAGUCAGAUGUGAAAUUUCGGGGCUCAACCCCGAAGCUGCAUUUGAAACUGUCUUUCUAGAGGGUAGGCGGAGAAAACGGAAUUCCACAAGUAGCGGUGAAAUGCGUAGAUAUGUGGAAGAACACCAGUGGCGAAGGCGGUUUUCUAGCUUAUACCUGACGUUGAGGCGCGAAAGCAAGGGGAGCAAACAGG